CCUGCGUUUGUUGAAAACCAAAGACCCAAACCAGUUUCCCAAAAUCAUUUUCCCCCCAAAACCUCCCCUCUCAAUCUCCUCCCUCAACUUCGCCGUCGACGGGCUCCAUAGCUUCCAUCUCACGCCGCGCCAUCUCCGUCCAGCUCCAUCGCCACUUUUCCCCUCAAAAACCUCCCUCUCUCGAUCUCUCCAUCUCCUCCCUCAACGCCCCCUUCGACGGGCUCCUCUCCGGCCGUUCAUCUCCACGCCAUCUUCGGUCGUUCCAUCUCCACGUCCAGCUCCAUCUCACUCUAUAAGUCACAAAUCUUCACCUUUCUCUCUUGGUAUCGCAUCACAGGAAGAAUAAAAAAAAAGGAAACUGAAAAAAACCCUAGAAAUUUACAGUGCUGGUACAUUGAACUUGGAGGUGCUGAUCCACGGAAAAGUAGAAAAGAGAUGCUGUUGUGUCGUGAAUGUGGACAGAUAUUUUACUUCGUCAUCUUUUGAAACUAAUGUAUUCAUAUUUUGAAACUAUGUGCUUGUGGUAAGGCCGGCGCUUUUAGGUAAGUUUGAUGUUUGAAUAGUUGGUAGGAGGAAGAUAAAGAUUAUCCUUAUCCUACAGUUGUGAAUAUUUCCAAUUGUAAUUUUUAUUUGCUGGAUCUUCUUUA